rnacentral:lncRNA from 13 species
UUCAGAAGCCACAGACAGACAUGGAGAAAAUGUCCCACAUGACUCUCCUUCCAAGCAUUCCUUUGCUUUCACAGAAUGAGAAAUAAUGCUCCUGAAUGCACAUGGCAAGGCCUGAAGAAGGUUGACUGAAGCUGGCAGAAGAUAGGAGAGCUCUGUGGUGGAGGGAGCUGUUUCUGGAGCCAGACGCACCCUCAGUGGAGCCUGAGGUCCCUGCUACUACUGAAUCUCCUUCCACCACAGGGCUGUGCUGGAGUCUCUGUGAAUCUGCUGUGAUUCUGGGAGUUGCCAAAUUCUUGAAUCGAUCAUUGCUCAAUUAAAUGUUUUAAAAUUUAAUUCAGCUGAAGUUUUUUUUUUAUUAUCAACUACUAUAGUAUUUAAGGUUAGUUUCUUUCCCUUUUUUUGAAACUAAUAUGUACUGCGAGUCUGGUAUGCCAGAUGCCACGCUAAGCACUUUACUGAUGUAAUUUCAAAACCGCUUACAG